rnacentral:pre_miRNA from 1 species
CUAGUACUCCCUCCGUUCGGAAUUACUUGUCGCAGAAAUGGAUGUAUCUAGAUGUAUUUUAGUUCUAGAUACAUCCAUUUUUGAGACAAGUAAUUCCGAACGGAGGGAGUACUAC